AAGACUGAAACUGACUCGGCAGGAUAUCGCAUCCUGGGCCUACUUAGUCUAUCAGGCAUAGACAUCAGAGUCAAAGUAGUUCGGACUGGGGAAACGACACAUGCUCGCUAGGAUAUCGCAUCCUAUGCAUACGUAUCUCCUUGGACGAAGGAGAAUCAGAGCAUUCGUAGCUCGGCUGACACGCACACAAAAACAGGCAAAGGCAAACGUGGAGCCCGAAUGCCAAUCACUGGACUUACAUCAGCAUCCAAAC
rnacentral:lncRNA from 1 species